UUCAACACUUGCUUGGGUAGUAUUUUGUGUAAUUACUAACAAUUUAAAACACUUUACCUGAUAUUGACUUGGUGGCUCACCAGGGACGCCGGAACGAUAAUAAGGCAAAGGGGGGCGGACGCACACCAAGGGCACCUCUAUAGAGCAAAACUUCAAAAUCUACUGCAAUUUUUUUUUUCAAUGGAAAUUUUUGGGCGACCUCCCCCCCCCGCCGCCCCCCCCAUCGCCAAAAAAUUUUCGGUCAGUGAGUGUAGCAUUUUAGGGGUCAAAAAUUUUUUCCGGACAUACCAAAAUUUUCCAUGAAGUCAAAUAUUUUUCCUCAUAUCUUAAAUUUUCGCCAUUUCUUCAAAAU